UGAACCCUAACAUAAACCCCUUAAAAACCAAAACCGCAGUUCGCAACUGAAGUGCAUACGCAGUCUCACUAUCUCUCUUGCUCUCUCUCUAGUUCCCGUGUUCUCUUCAAUGGUGAACGCAGCUUCUUGGGUCUCGCACAUCGAGACCUUCGUCGACAUAUCUCGCCCCGCAGAGCAGCAGAAAGCUGGCGUUAAUACAGUGGCUGGUUUAGUCAAGAAUGAUUUUUUAACUGUCGAGGCAUUGGUAAAAGAAAUGGAAUUAUACCUGACAACCACGGAUGAUACCAUCCGCGCAAGAGGUAUUCUUUUUCUUGCUGAAGUUCUUAUCUGUCUUUUAAGCAAAGCCUUAGACAGUUUUACAAUAAGUAGUCUGGCUGGAUUCUUCUCAUCAAGGCUGGCAGAUUGGAGAUCUUUGCGUGGGGCACUCAUUGGUUGCCUGGCACUUCUAAAGAGGAAGAGUAAUGUUGGCAUGCUUGCUGAUAAUGAUGCCAGGACACUAGCUCAAUCAAUGUUGGAUAAUGUACAAGUGCAGUUGCUAGCAAUGCAUGAUCGUAAGUUGUGCUUUGAAGUUUUUCAAUGCUUGCUGGAUGCCCACUCCGACUCGAUAGCAUCUCUGGGUGAUGAUUUUGUUUAUGGAUUAAUUCAAGCGGUUGAUCAAGAGAAGGAUCCACGGUGCUUGGUCCUUACGUUUCAUCUAGUCCAGAGUCUUGUCAAAUUAUUUCUGUCACAACUGGGUUCAGAACAUGUUGCUCAGGAUCUUUUUGAGGUUUUAAGCUGCUAUUUUCCCGUAUAUUUCACACAUAAAAUAGCAGAUGAUUUUGAAGUCAAAAGGGAAGAUCUAUCUGAUGCACUAAUGGAUGCCUUCUGUUCAACUCCAUAUUUUGAGCCAUUUGCUAUUCCAUUGCUUCUUGAUAAACUUUCAUCUUCUCUUCCAUUAGCAAAGAUUGAUUCUUUGAAGUAUCUGAACAAAUGUUUGUUGAAUUUUGGAACUGAAAGGAUGUUGCAGCAUGCCCAAAACAUUUGGUUUGCUCUAAAAGAUGUUAUCCUCAAUCAUUUGCCACAAGCCGAAAUAUUAUCAUCAUCGGUUUCUGUUUUAGGCGGAGAUAUCAAAUAUCAUGAGCACAAGAUUGCUACGGAAGCUUUAAUUUGUUUGAAAACAACCAUUUUGCAGUUUACUUGCCCUAAUAAUGUUGAUUUUUUGACUUUGAUUAUUGAUGAUAAUGUUGUUGAAAGAAGUUUUUGUUCGGUCACCAUGGAGGGAAGCUAUUCUGAUAAUGAUGAUAAAAAUGACCUUAAGCUUAGUGCUCUUGGUAGUAUCUUAUCUGUUGUGGCAAAUUCCUCCAUUUUUGGCUGCAAUAGAGUGUUUCAAGAUUUUUUUCCACGUUUAAUGGUUGCCCUUGGAAUUGAUUUAAGAACGUCAAAACAUUCUGCAGAUGCUUAUGUUGAAAUUGUUUCCCAGAAGUUUAACUAUGGGGCACUUUAUUUGUCUGUUGAACUGCUUGCUUCGAGCAGAGAUUUGAUAGCAACAGUAUUGGAGUCGUCCAAUUCAAAAGAUUCAUUGCGAGGUAUCUGGUGGCACUUGAUUCAAGAGUUCUCUGGCCCAUUAACUUCUGCUUUUAAAUCAGCCUUGAUGAUUCCCAAUAAAAUCACUGCUGAAGGUGGAAACUCUAACUACAUGCAAGAAAUAAUCAUAUGCAGCGUGAAGGGGUUGGAAGUGCUUGCAACAUAUGCAGGGGAGCAUACACCUGUGCCAAGGAAAUCAUUUGAAGACAUUUUAGAGGUUUUUAUAUUAAUUAUCAUUAGCAGAUAUGAAGAUCCAUUCUUGUGGAAAUUGUCAUUGAAGUCAUUAGUCCUUAUUGGAUCGUGCAUAGCAAGAUUUAAAGAUUCGAAUAUGCAAAUGAUUUAUAAUGAAAUUGUUGUUAGAAGGCUUGUCAGGCUUCUUCAUAAAGAUUCUAUAUUACCGCUUGAUUUAAUACUGGAGGCAAUCUCAGAAAUCGGUACUUGUACAUUGGAUUUAAUUUCACCAGUAAUUCAGGGGCUUGAAGAAGCAAUGCUUUCAAGCUUUUUGCAGGCUUGUGUUGAUGAAAGUUUUAAAUCUUCCCAGGAUUUGGUCCUUUUUCUUGAUUGCUACUGCACUAAAAUUCUUCCAUGGUGCCAUACCUCUGGAAGCAUUGAGCAACCUGGGAUGCAUUUUGUUAUCAAUAUAUUAGAGCAGAUGGAAGAUAAUAUUGCUUUUAAGAUGAAGCCUGAAAUGCAGGAUCUACUGGAUAAAAUGAUGAUGACAAUGAAGCUUGUUGUCAGGGGCUGUGCGGAGAACAACCAGUAUAUAAUCCUAGAAAAGGCAUAUAAUAUUAUGCUAGCAUCAGCGAAUCUUCCAUCAAAUGCUCUCCUUGUUUCUUCCAGUAUACUGGAAGGGUUUCAACUUAUUCCAGAUUUCUGUGAAUUAUCAUGUAAAAAUAAAAUGCUUCUAUACUUUCUUGCAUCGAUUGUGACGGCCCUUCAUCAGCAAACACCACUAACUAAUGUGGCAAGAUUGCUGAACCUUCUCUUGGUUUUUACACUUAAAGGGCAUCUUCCUGCAGCUCAAGCCUUGGCUUCGGUUGCUAACAAGUUACCUAAUGCUGUCAUCCUUGAAGAAACUAUUGAGAUGAUUCUUGACUCUUUUUCCAGUGUACUCAGUAAUAACCAUCAAAAUGAACCUCAUAUGCUUAACAGCAAUGAUGGUGCUUCCAUGCAUUUUUGUUCAAACUUACAAAUCAAUGCUGUCAUUGGGAUUGCAUGGUUUGGGAAAGCCUUACUAAUGCGGGGACAUGGUCGAGUUAAAGACAUAUCAAUGGUUAUUUUGAAGUGUUUGCUAUCAAAUAAGAAUAUUGUUCCAUCAUCUUCCCAUCAUCAAUCCGGCAAUUUCAUUGGAGAGGAUAUGCACUAUCUUGUUGCGAGAUCAGCAGCUGAUGCAUUCCAUUUGCUUUUGAGUGACUCUGAUGUUUGCCUGAAUAAAAAUUUCCAUGCAAUUAUAAGGCCUCUCUAUAAGCAAAGGUUCUUCUCGAGUAUGCUGCCAGUUUUGCACUCAGCCAUUAAGGAAUGUAAUUCACCAAGAACAAAAGCUUUACUUUAUCGAGCUUUUGGCCACACUAUUUCUGGGAUGCCAUUGACCGUUCUUGUUGCAGAUGCAAAGAAGGUCUUGCCAUUAUUGUUGGAUAGUUUAUCUGUUUUAGAUUCUGAUAUUCUCAACAAAGAUCUGAUAUAUAGCUUGCUUUUAGUGCUAUCUGGGUUUCUUAUUGACGAGAAAGGAAAAGAGGAUAUCAUAGGCUACGUUCAUAUAGUUAUAGAUCACCUGAUUAAGUUGCUUUCUUACCCUCACAUGAUGCUUGUUCGAGAAACAGCAAUUCAAUGUCUUACGGCUAUAACGGCUUUUCCUUAUACACGGAUCUACCCAUUAAGAACUCAGGUUCUGGGAGCUUUAGCAGGAGCUUUUGAUGAUAAGAAGAGAAACGUUCGUCAGGAGGCUGUUAAAUGCUGUCACGCUUGGGCCUCAAUGGCUUCACGAUCUAUUCGUUUCUGAGAGUCACACAAAUAUUAAAUGAGUUGAGGAUGAAUUCGAGCAUGAAGUCAUUAUAUCGGUAGCCACUGAAUUUGAGCGAUGUCAUAACGAGCAUGAGAACCCAGGGCAUCCUUAGGACACGUAGCCCCACAACUCAAGGUAGUCUAUGCUAAAAACAUUAGCAAUAGGAAUGUUGGUUGUUUAUUUAAUAUUUUUAUUGAUUUAUUUUCAUUUAAUUAAUGAUUUAUAGAAGUUUUAAAGAUUUAUUGAUU